rnacentral:tmRNA from 1 species
GGGGGCGAACGGGUUCGACGGGAACCGUAGGACAGGGUUGCAGGCAGGGUGGCAACCUAAAGAGCCGACCCAAAACACUUCCCGAAAGGGAACUGGCACUCGCUGCCUAACUAAAGGCAGUGGCUCUGCAACCGCUUCACCCCUGGGUGGUUGACAGGGCUCAGAGACAGGGGCGUAGGGUUAAGGUGGUGCGAGCUACGCCUCGACCCGAAAACCCAUAGCUCGCUCGCCUAUGGGAGUUUGACGGUGGACGGCCAUAGGUCAGAGGUAAACACCGUCUAAGCCUGUAGAGGCUCUGGUCUCCGGGCGGUUUUCGGACGCGGGUUCGAUUCCCGCCGCCUCCACCA